UACGUAGGGGGCAAGCGUUGUCCGGAUUUAUUGGGCGUAAAGAGCGUGUAGGCGGCCAGACAGGUCAGCUGUGAAAACUCGAGGCUCAACCUCGAGACGUCGGUUGAAACCGUUUGGCUAGAGUCCGGAAGAGGAGAGUGGAAUUCCCGGUGUAGCGGUGAAAUGCGCAGAUAUCGGGAAGAACACCCGUGGCGAAGGCGGCUCUCUGGGACGGUACUGACGCUGAGACGCGAAAGCGUGGGGAGCGAGCAGG
rnacentral:rRNA from 1 species